AUGAUGCCAGUGUUUUGUUUUUCUGCCUGUCGUGUGCCGAGCAAGCUAGGCGAACACUUUCGUUGUCAGAAAGGUGUGACUUUGUGAAAUAACGAUUUGGGAGCAAAUAAACAACAUACCGUGCAGAUGGCGGACCCUGCGGUGAUGGCGGGUGGAUUCAGUGCUAUAGUCGGGCGUUCAGGGUGUGGUAAGGCGACGUCCAGCCCGGCAGAGAAUUACCAGCUUGCCCGGCGUCGCACCCUCCAAGUGGUAGUGAGCUCUCUGCUGACAGAGUGUGGAUUCGAGAGCGCAGAGAAGGCCACUGUGGAAUCACUGACUGAGAUGAUCCAGAGCUACAUAUCUGAAGUAGGUCGUUGUGCCAAGGCAUACUGUGAACACACAGCUCGAAUCACGCCCACCCUCUCUGACGCUGUGGUCACACUCAAUGAAAUGGGUUUCAAUGUGGACACACUGCCAGGGUAUGCCAAGAGAUCACAGAGGAUGGUUAUAACUGCUCCUCCAGUGACGAAUGCUCCUGUGAUCCCAAAGGCCUUGAUUGCUGGACAGAAACGCACUCAUCCCUCCCACAUCCCCAGCCACUUCCCGGAGUUCCCCCGAUCCUCACACUUACAUCAAAACUCCACUCACACGCUUCAUGGCCAAGACUGGAGAAACACAGAGCCUCUUCAAGGAUGAUGUCACUGCCUUCCCAUUGAUUGCAGAGCGGCCCAGCUCCAUCCCGUAUCUCAGUGCCCUGCUGCCCUCAGAACUGGAGCUGCAGACUCUGGAGGAGACAGACUCCUCUGAACAGGACGAUCAGACCGACAGCGAGAACACGCCAGUCAACAACCUCAAUGAUGAUCCUGGAGCUGAUAAGGAGAAUUCCGUGCUUCUUGCUGGGGGCGUGGUUCCCUUGGUGAAGGUCAGUGAAGAAAACAUGAUUGACAACCCAUACUUGAGGCCAGUCAAGAAACCCAAAGUGAGGAGGAAGAAGUGAGAGUUUACUACACUUAGCUACUAAUUUGGACUUCUGUCAGCCACAACGAAGAGUGAAUUGUAAGAAGCAGUUAACAGCUCUGUGCUUCUGAGAAGUGGACCCACGUGGACAUCUGAGGUCAGGGACUCCAACCUCUCAACUUCCUACAUGGCAAAUACUGCUCAUUAUGACACCCUUCACCAGUUACAUUCAUGAGAAAACAGACAUUUGCUAAAUGUAAUAUUUUUCAAAUUUGUGGAAUGGUUCUGUUGUGAAAGAAAAUGUAACAUUUGCUAAAAUGUUAUUUUUACCCAUUUCCAAAUUAUGAUUUCAGUCGUUUGUGAAUAAUGAACAGGAAAUAAAAUGUUUUGAUUUGUAAAUUUCAACAUUAAUUUACCCAAAUGACACAUUUUAGCCUAUCGCCAAAUAUACACUGAACAAAAAAAUAAACGCAACAUGUAAAGUGUUGGUCCCUUGUUUCAUGA